rnacentral:rRNA from 1 species
UACAGAGGGUGCGAGCGUUGUCCGGAAUCACUGGGCGUAAAGGGCGCGUAGGCGGCCUGAUAAGUAGGGGGUGAAAUCUUGCGGCUCAACCGCAAGGCUGCCUUCUAAACUGUCAGGCUGGAGCACGGUAGAGGCAGAUGGAAUUCCCGGUGUAGCGGUGGAAUGCGUAGAGAUCGGGAAGAACACCAGUGGCGAAGGCGGUCUGCUGGGCCGGUGCUGACGCUGAGGCGCGACAGCGUGGGGAGCAAACAGG